rnacentral:misc_RNA from 1 species
UCCGAGUUGUCCCCGGCAGUCCUCUUAGAGUCCCCGGCAUUACCCGCUGGCAACUAAGAGCAGGGGUUGCGCUCGUUGCGGCACUUAAGCCAACACCUCACGACACGAGCUGACGACAGCCAUGCAGCACCUGUGCACGUGUCCCGAAGGAGGCCCCUGCUUUCACAGGGGUUUCACGUGCAUGUCAAGCCCAGGUAAGGUUCUUCGCGUUGCUUCGAAUUAAACCACAUGCUCCACCGCUUGUGCGGGCCCCCGUCAAUUCCUUUGGGUUUUAGUCUUGCGACCGUACUUCCCAGGCGGAGAACUUAAUGCGUUAGCUUCGGCACCGCAGGGGUCAACUCCCGCGACACCUAGUUCUCAUCGUUUACGGCGUGGACUAC